UGGGGAAUAUUGCACAAUGGGCGCAAGCCUGAUGCAGCCAUGCCGCGUGUAUGAAGAAGGCCUUCGGGUUGUAAAGUACUUUCAGCGAGGAGGAAGGCCUUAAGGUUAAUAACCUUAGUGAUUGACGUUACUCGCAGAAUAAGCACCGGCUAACUCCGUG
rnacentral:rRNA from 1 species